rnacentral:rRNA from 1 species
GACGUAGGGCGCGAGCGUUGUCCGGAUUUAUUGGGCGUAAAGAGCUCGUAGGCGGCUUGUCGCGUCGGCUGUGAAAACCCACGGCUUAACUGUGGGCUUGCAGUCGAUACGGGCAGGCUAGAGUUCGGUAGGGGAGACUGGAAUUCCUGGUGUAGCGGUGAAAUGCGCAGAUAUCAGGAGGAACACCGGUGGCGAAGGCGGGUCUCUGGGCCGAUACUGACGCUGAGGUGCGAAAGCGUGGGGAGCAAACAGG